rnacentral:misc_RNA from 1 species
GUAAAUAGAGCCUCUGUAUAACUAAAUUUAUAUUUGAGCUGUUUGACUCCAGGUAAUUGCUCUAUAGAUCAGGUGGAUGAGGAUAAAUUACACACUGACGAAUCCCUAUGCCAUAUUAAGACAUGAAAACUCAAUCUCUUCCCACAAGGAAUGCCCCCAAAAGGUUUCAUUCAAUUUAUAUAUAUGAUACAACGAUGAUACACUCAAUGUGCUCUGAUCAGAGAACUGCGGGGAAAUUCCAGGGAAAACAUAUCAUCUAAGGUGAUAACUCUUGACAUGAAUCUCAAGAAAUACUGCUAUGAGUCCAAGAAACAAAAAGCAUAGCAUGUACACCAGGGGAAGAAAUCCAAGAGAAAUAGUAGAUCAAAGGAUAGAGAAACAGAGAGAAUAUGAAGAGCCAAGAAACUAUACCAGUCUUAUGUCUUCAGCCGUUUUUGAGCCCGAUCUGAGUCCCCUUCACUGCCCACAUCCCUAAGAUUUGUCACCGCUGGAGGGUUCUGAGGAAGACACAUGACAUGAAUGACAUCAAGUAAAAUCGUAAACUUCAUGAUACCUUUCUAACAAGAACCACUGUUUGUUGAUCAUCUUAUUUAUCAGCUCUAUAC